rnacentral:lncRNA from 1 species
AGCAGUGGCAUCGACCCAGUGGUGUAAAUAGUUAUCAAAGGUAUCAGGAUUAUAAUUUAGUACGCCAGACGCGCGUUUUCGUCUACACAUAAGACUCAUCAGUGACGCUCAUAUCAAAAUAUUUAUAAAGCCAAACAAGUACAAAGUUGAAGAGCAUUGAGGAUCCAAAAUUCCAAAAAGUUGUGCCAAAUACGGCUAAGGUAAUCUAUGCCUGGGAUAAGAAAAUCCUUAGUUUUUCAAAAAUUCAAAGUUUGGUAAACAGGAAAUUUAUAAAAAUGACCACAUUAUUGAUAUUCAUGUCAACACCGAAGUGUUGACUACUGGGCUGGUGAUACCCUCGGGGACGAAACGUCCACCAGCAGUGGCAUCGACCCAGUUGUGUAAAUAGUUAUCAAAGGUAUCAGGAUUAUAAUUUAGUACGCCAGACGCGCGUUUCGUCUACAUAAGACUCAUCAGUGACGCUCAUAUCAAAAUAUUUAUAAAGCCAAACAAGUACAAAGUUGAAGAGCAUUGAGGAUCCAAAAUUCCAAAAAGUUGUGCCAAAUACUGCUAAGGUAAUCUAUGCCUGGGAUAAGAAAAUCCUUAGUUUUUCAAAA